AAACAGGAAAAGCAACGUGUUGAUAUUAUUAGAUGCAUCAAUUCGCCAAAAAUAGUACUAAUAUCAAACAACAACAAAAUGAAUCUCCAAGGAUGAAAGUGGAAGGCGAAACGCCACAAGAGAAAUUUGGAACGUUGAAAAGGGGAAGCUAUUUAUAUAGCAGAAUAUGUUCCCAUAGUUUUAACAACUUUAUCAACGUUCAAAAUAAAAACAGAGGCAACUUACAAUAUUAGUUUCACAAUUGCUUUUAAGUGGCGGUCAGUUGAUGAUGUUGGAAUAUAAGUCUGUCUCGUAUGGUGUUAUGAAUAGCUGGAUUUCCUGGAAGUUAGUGUUGGCCGGCAAUGGCUGAAGACGCGCAUG
rnacentral:lncRNA from 1 species